CACGUAGGGCGCAAGCGUUGUCCGGAAUUAUUGGGCGUAAAGAGCUCGUAGGCGGUUUGUCGCGUCUGUCGUGAAAGCUUGGGGCUUAACCCUAAGUCUGCGGUGGAUACGGGCAGGCUAGAGGCAGGUAGGGGAGAACGGAAUUCCCGGUGUAGCGGUGAAAUGCGCAGAUAUCGGGAGGAACACCGGUGGCGAAGGCGGUUCUCUGGGCCUGUACUGACGCUGAGGAGCGAAAGCGUGGGGAGCGAACAGG
rnacentral:rRNA from 1 species